GGUUUUAGGGGUUUAGAGUUAGGGUUAGGGCUAUCUAUUAGCACUACGGUAGCAUUUUUCGACAGAACACUCACAAACACCAGGAGUGGAAGACUGAAGGCCACGGGAAGCCAAACGUGACCCUGUCACUGGAGGGGAGAAAUGAUCCCCGAAAUGGGACAAGGAGCAUCUCCGCCACGGCCGGACAGGUCGGGCUUGAUGAGGUUGUCGUCCUGCUUCUCUAUCCUGUAGUUCCUUUCACUCAUCCGGUCCUGCACGGCCUUCACCAGUCUGGCCGUCUGAUCCCCAUAUUCCACUGAGGCCACCUCCAUCACUGGUUAUGAUACGUAGGACAGUUGAGUCCCAGCUCCCUUAGGUAUGGAACAAGGCUGGACACCUUUCCCUGAUAGAUGCACUGGCCUUGGCUCAGGACGUAGAGCUAUGAACAGCCAUGGAUAAGCCGCAAUUAGGCAAUGUCCAUCACAACCGAGCCUUCAAGAGCGAGAUCACUUGGAAGCAGGAGGAGCUGUCCAGGCCACUGCAGGGGACCACAACAAGGGAAAGUCUUCAUCAAGGGUUCAUACUCCCGACGGUGUUUCUGACCGGGACUCGUACUCCCGACCGCGUUUCUGACCGGGGCUCGUACUCCCGACCCCGUUUCUGACCGGGACUCGUACUCCCGACCCCGUUUCUGACCGGGACUCGUACUCCGGACCCCGUUUUUGACCGGGACUCGUACUCCCGACCGCGUUUCUGACCGGGACUCGUACUCCCGACCGUGUUUCUGACCGGGGCUCAGACUCCCGCCCGUGUUUCUGACCGGGGCUCAGACUACGGACCGCGUUUCUGACCGGGGCUCGUACUCCCGACCCCGUUUCUGACCGGGGCUCGUACUACCGACCGCGCUUCUGACCGGGGCUCGUACUACCGACCGCGCUUCUGACCGGGACUCGUACUCCCGACCGCGUUUCUGACCGGGGCUCGUACUCCCGACCCCGUUUCUGACCGGGGCUCGUACUCCCGACCCCGUUUCUGACCGGGGCUCGUACUACCGACCGCGUUUCUGACCGGGGCUCGUACUACCGACCGCGUUUCUGACCGGGGCUCGUACUACCGACCGCGUUUCUGACCGGGGCUCGUACUCCCGACCGCGUUUCUGACCGGGGCUCAGACUCCCGACCGUGUUUAUCUUCAUCAGCCAAUGCCCUGCUGAAGCUUGUCUCAAACACUGCUUUGCCUUCAGGUUGGCCAGCUUCCCUGUCUGCAAACCAAUCAUGCAGUGUACUUGUUGACCCAAGGAAUUACUUCAUAUUAUAAUCUUAUGAUAACUCAGAGGAUGCCCUGAAGCACAGACUGAGCUGUUAAAGCUUGUUUCCUGCCAGGGUGAGAUUAGACCUCUCAUUACAGGUGGGAAAUGAGGCUACAGAACAAAGAACUAGAAAUACAACAUUAAAACAUGAAUACAAAGGAAUACAGAGGAGGAGGGAGGUACUGUUCAAAAUUCCUGGAAGAUUUAACUCUAGUUAAAGAGAAAGAACUGGAGAUAAGAAAACACUAUCGUUUCAAACGAGUACUAAACAAUACUCACUAGCACUUUACUUGAGGCGGCACAAAUAAUGUAGUCGUACACUCUUAAUAUAUUAAUUAACUAGAAACUGUUAGUUACGUACUGAUCCAAUGUUUGUUCAUCAUUAAUCUGCCCAAAUGGU